UGAAUUUCUGUAUGAAAUCCCCAGCGGAUGUCACCCCAGCAGACUGGCAGUGUCUUUUCACUGAUCCACACGCUCAUUCAUUCAGAACUGUGUUGUCAGUCAUAGACACUUGGUCAUUGGUUUUUGUUUCUCGUUUCUGAGUGCAAAUCUAGCUCUUUGCUAGACUGCUCUUCACUGACAGCUUUGUUUUUAUUGCUAACAAGACUGUAUUUACGCAGCAGCAGGCAGACUCAAGUUGUCCUGUGAUGAAGUUCUCUCCCAAAUAAGUAGAGGUGGCAAAAUCAGCCCCACUAGUGUCCACACACUUUUGGAAGCCGCACACUGCUGAUACGGGUGUCACCGCAAGUCCAACCACUCUCUGUCCUUGUCCACCACUGACUAAAACAGGGAAAUGCUGCUCUGCAUUUGUUAAACUUUGAACAACCAUUUAUAUGACCACUACCUGCCGUCAGGGUUUUUUCACGAGUGCAAUUUGGAUGUGUUAAAAUGUUGAAGCUCAGGCUCAGCAAAAACCUCACUGAAAAGCUCUAGCUCACUACAGCCCUUGAUUAAUGAUGGCCAGGUUUCAUUUCAUGCUCGGCAUUUUAUGCAAAUAGAGAACAUAGCUCUGUGCAGACUGCACAUGCCUAUAAAUAUCUGUGGAGGCUGAACGCACCUGCCCAGGAACAGCCUGAGGAGAUGCCCAGCCCAGGGUGCUGGGGUGUGGGGCAAACUCUGGUUUGGCAACAGCCCGGAUAUAACUAGGAAUUUUGAGAAAGGGGAAAGGAGCCAGCUCAUUCUCCCCUCACCUCUGAUAUUUCUACUGGCUGUUUCCUCUGCUUGGGGGUCCAUCUGGACAAGGUGAGGGAGCUGCCUGCAGAGCAGGUGCCACAGCAGUCCCUGGGAGGAAGGAGUGACGUCCCUGCUACCCUUCAGCUCAAACCAAGCUGUGGAGAUGCAUGGCAAAGUUCUCAGGUCACAGUUGUCACACAAUGAACCUGCCUCUUGGUGAGCAUAUAUUUGCUUAAAUGGUUUGCAUUAAUCCCUAGAAAGGCUCUUAUUAAAAAAAAUGGUUAAAAACUCCCAUCCUAAAUCCCGGUGGAAGUGGAUUUCUACUCUCCUUUAGACCUUUUCCCCUUCAAUAUUAGGCUCAGUAUCUUGCAUAUGUUUUUAUAUGAAACCCUGCGAUUAAAAGUACUUAAGACUGGCUCAUUUUUCUCUGCAAUGAGUUCAGUUAUUUCCUUUUUAUACCUUCCAGAAUUUACUAUACCAUAUCUAAAUAUUGGCUGCAGUCCACAUGUUUUAGAUCAUGCUCUAUAAUGGUCCUGUUGUUACAGAAUCCUUUGUGUGUGUGAGAGAGAGAGGGAGAACAUGCAUAUGUGUUGGAAGGGAGGCAGGGUGCAUAUAAUUGUUUGGAAGGAGAAAUCAGGGUAUAUUAAUUCCAUAAGUGAUUUCUGAACUGAUAACAUAAAAGUGAUAAAAAUAGUGAGCAGUGAAAUUACGGACCUCCAGUGCCUUACCUAGCACGUGUGCUAAAUAAUACUUCUGAUCCCAAUAUGUUACUCUACUGUAUAUAUUCUACCAAUAAAAUGACUCAUUCAUCUUUCAUUGCUAUAUAAUUUUAAAGAUCAGAUUUAUUGCUGUUACAUUUCCUCGUUUUUACAUAGGUUCUAAAUGUAGAUCCUUCGAUCUGAGCCAUACAAUGUGUUAGUCAACCGUAAGCUACCCGAGGAUGGAUCAGGGCAGCAGCUGAAAGUCCUCCUUCAUCACACAAAAACCUCAUUGCCUGCUGAAGACCACAGAGAGAAUGUACACACGUAGACUAGAACAAAGAGUUGUCAACACAAUGAACUCAGGGGAACAGAGAAGAAACCAGUGUGGAGCAGAGAGAUGCUGGCUGCCCUGUAAAUCAGUGACAAGGCACAGCUGAAGACUUAGGCCUGCUCCCUGCCUGAGAGCCAUCCCCUUCCAGCAGCAUGGCACAUUUGUCUCUAUGUGCAGCCCUUCUCACUGAAGCUUCCUACAGACCAAGGGGAGCUGCCGGGCCACUCCUUACCCUGCUGGCUCAGGAGCAGGAGCGGACCUGCCUGCAAGCCGGACGAUGGCAGCUGCUCCCAUUUUGCCCAGGAGUCAUCUGCCUGUCACAUCGCAGACAUGUAACCACCGUGUGAUGGAGAGCAGCCAAGCAGCCAUCGAGACAGGCUGGGGCCGGGUGGGAGCUGCUGCUGCUGCCAGAACUGUGCUCCCCACUCACUGUGCCCAUGAAGAAAGCUGCUGGGAAUGAGCUGCAGGAUGGACACGUUGUCCUCUCCACCUGCUGUCCAUGGGGGACUGCACAGCAUGGUCUGAGUUUUACAGUGCUGGUUUGGAGCUCAGGAGGCAG
ensembl:lncRNA